ACAGACAUGGUUCUUAUCCUGCAUGUUUCUUCCUGUGAUCAUCUAUGUUGCUGAAAACUGGGAUCAGAGGUGAAUUCAGGAAGCUGUGGCAUCACAAACUGCUGUCAAUCUCAGCUGUACAGCUGACAGGAGACCCUGGGAUCAAAGGCAAUACUAAAUAUUAAUGAAUGCUGAAGCCUCAGAAAAGGAGGUGAGAGAAACUGAUUGUCAGCUGCUGAAGACAGAAAUGAAUUCAGAAGGGAGCUGAAGACAUGAACACAACAGGAGAAUAGCUUUUUUUCAGGCCCAGAAAGAAGAGGAAACAGGGAUGAUGGGAGUGGGCCAGAACUUGUAAAUAAGAGCAAGAAUUAGGACAGUUGUGAAUAUAUUCACUUUUUCAUCAUUUUUCUAUGUGCA
rnacentral:lncRNA from 1 species